GUGUGUGGGAAGGGGAAGGCGAUGUUGCGUGUCCCUGGGACAGUGUAAGUGUGUGAGCCACUCUGACUGUGUGGCCGCGUGCUUCGCUGGGUGUCGGGGGAAGGUGCGUCUCCAGGCCUCCUGCCCGAGAACAGCGACGCUGCUUUCUGAUUGGCUGCGGCCUCGCCAGUGAGAAGCUGCGGAAUCCUGCGGUAACUUGGUAACUCGGUAACUCGGCCGCCGCCGCCGCCGCCACCGCCGCCGCCGCCGGGAUGAGCCGAUUGGGAGGGGCCCCGCCCACGUCCCGCAGGGCCCGCCCUGGCGGGCGACCGUAACCCCGAGUGCUCCUCCCCGCGCCCCCUCUUCCCACUGGCUUCCCCCCUACCUGUCUGUACGGUGGUCCUUGACUCCAUCUCCCUCACCUCUGCCUCUGCCUCUGCUUCCCCGUCUCUACCACUCGCCACGACUCUCUCCGCCUCUGAGUCCCCCCUGUUUGUCUCUCCCUAUCUCUGUGUCUCUGCCUGUCUCUUUCUCUUUUUGUCUGUUUCCCAGGUCCCAGCUCUGUCUCUCCAGCAUCUCUCUCUCCUUGAUCUCUCUCUCGCCCCAUCUUUCUCUUCCUGUCUCCGUCUUUCCACCUUUGUCUCUCCAGAGACGUUCUCGGGCUGUCUCUCCUUUUCUCUGUCUCUCUCCCCCUCUCCUCUGUCUCAGUCUCCCCAACUUCGUCUUUCCCACGUCUCGUCUCUCUCUCUCUCUCUCUCUCUCUCUCCCUCCCUUCUCCACCCCGCCUCCCAACUCCCACAGCCAAGCUCAGAAUUCACUUUUCAUUCUGCGGAGAGCGCAGGGGACCUUUCGCUACUUCAUCCUCGCCCCUUCCCAAAGGCCCAGGCUCCUGGCAGCAGGCCCCACGCGGGGCAGACCUCAGGAAGGACUUCCCGCCCUGGUUCAGCAGUGGAGUUUUAUCGCUCCGGCCAGGCAGAGGCCGGGCGGCCCCGUGGCUUCCGGAGGCGCCCGGGCGGGAUGAGCUCACUGCAAGUUGGCUUGGAUUUCAUCAGCUUCCUCUGCCGGAGUUGCCCCCGCUCCUCAUCCCGCGCUGGCCGAGUCGGCGAAUCCGCCGGGCUCUGCUGCCCCCGAGCGGCAAGAGGAGGUAGCGCAGGCGCCGUGUAAAAAAUUCCACCUUUGCUGUUCACGAUGUCACCAAUUCAUGAAUGCUGCAAAUACGAACCCAUUUCAAACUCACGAGAGCCCCAUGAGAUAGAGACUAUUUCAAAUCCAAUUUAAAACUGAGAAGCUGAAGUCGGAGACUUGAGGUCAGCCGCCUGAGGUGCCAAGCUCUGUGCCAACGCAAUGCUUUACACACCUGACCUCGUUAAAUCCUUAUGACUAUCCUGAGAGGCACAGCCUGACCCUGUGUGUAUGGACAUUCUCAGGCUUAGAGGAUGACUCAGAGCUACAGCUGCCAGCCUACACCACAGCUCACAGCCACACCGGAUCCUUCACCCACUGAGCGAGGCGGGGGAUUGAACUCGAAUCCUCAUGGAUAGUCAUCAGAUUUGUUUCCGCUGGGCCAUAACGGGAACUCCCUAAUUUCUUCUUAUAAGGACCCCAGUCAUCCUGGACUAGGACCCACCCUAAAGAGCUCAUGUUCACUUAAUUACCUCUUCAAAGAGCCCAUGUCAAAAUGGGGUCACAUUCUGGGGUCCUGGGGGGUUAGGACUUCAACAUACACAUUGUGGGGACACAAAGCUGUGCACGUGAGAUUUGAUUAUGUUCAAGCUGCUAAAGCUGCUAUGAACCUUAGGAACACUUUUUGUUUGUAGGCCAUGGCAUUGACGCGGAAUCUCAGAUCCCAAACCAGGGAUUGAACCUUGGGCUGCAGCAAUGAAAGCAUCAAAUCCUAACCCCUAGACCACCAGGGAACUCCCUAUGAACCUUCCUAUACAUGGCACGUCUUUCGGGGAACACGUGUAUGCAGUGCUGUUGGAUAAAUCCCUUUGUGGAUCUGCUGGCUCAUAGGCGCCUGUGUAGGAGACCCUGCCCAGUGGUACCUCACAGCAAUUGGAGCAUUUUACCUUCCUUCUCCUCCUGCCCUGAGAGUUGCAGUUGCUCCACGCCCUCGGCAAGUUUUGACAUUGUCGUUCCCCCCCCCCCUUUUUCUUUGGCUGCACCUGUGAUGUGUCAAAAUUCCCAGGCCUGGAGUUCCCGCUGUGGAUGAAACAGGAUCAGGGGCAUGUCUGCAGCACCAGCACCAAUCUCCAGCCCUGCAUAGCGGGCUAAAGGAUGCAGUGUUGCCACAGCUGCAGCUCAGCUCUUAUCCCUGGCCUGGGACUUCCAUAUGCCGUGGGGCAGCAACAGCCCCCACCCCCCAAAAAAAAUCCUGGGCUGGGAGUCGAACCUAUGACAUAGCAGCAACCCAAGCCACUGCAGUGACAACACUGGAUCCUUAACCUGCUUCAUCCCAAGGAAACUUCCUUGGGCCCUUUAAUUUGAGCCAUUCUCAAGUAUUAUUUGCAUGGUUUUAACAGAGCGUGAAUUUUCCAGGGAUGCAAAGUCUUCUUUCAAGCGAUAAUUGUACCUUGUUUUGUUUAGAAAUCAAUCAAAGUUUCAUGUCUCCACUGCACUUCCACUUCUGAUGUCAAGGUCACAUCAAGUGACUCUCCUCAGCGUCUCGUGAUGGUCUGCCACCAUCCUGCCUGCCGCACCCAAGCUGCGUAUAGAUACACACACAGACACACACUCGCAGCCCUUUCUCAAAGUCUCAAAUAUAGCAAAAGGCUGUUGACAAUAUUCCACUGAUGAUUUUUCGAAUUCUCAUGUACUCAGACAUAUUCAUUACAAGUAUGGGAAUGCAUUUGACUCUUUUUUUUUUUGGCCUCACCAGCAACAUGCAAAAGUUCCCGGGCCAAGGAUCGAACCCUCACCACAGCAGUAAACCAGAGCUCAAGUAGUGACAAGGCCGGAUCCUUAACCUUCUGCACCACCAUGGAACUCCAAGUGACUCUAUGUUUUCCAGUAUAGCUGGACUAAUGCUAUUUUUUUUUUUUUUUUUUUGGCCUCCCCGUGGCAUAUAGAGUGCCCUGGCCAGGGAUCAGAUCCGAGUCACAGUUUCAGCCUACCCCACAGUGGCGGCAAUGCUGGAUCCUCAACCCACUGUGCCGGGCCGGGGAUCGAAUCUGUGUCCCACUGCUGCCAAGAUACCGUUGGUCAUCGAUCCCGUUGUGCCACAGUGGGAACUCCUGGACUAAUGGAUUUUUAUGUAUAUAUUGAUUUAAUAUACUUAAAUUU
rnacentral:lncRNA from 1 species